GGCUAAUGGCAUGGUUGCAAAGUUGCAACAAAGCAGUUCAUCAUAUAUUAAUCCAUAACUAUUCUCCUUUGUUGUCACAGGAUAAUGCAACUGCCUAAAAUGUUAACUGCAAUGGAUGAACUCAUGUCAUGUGAUUCCUUGCACCUAGAAAAGUUCCUCAGAAAUUCAACGUAUGAGGAGGAGAGCAGGAGGGUUUUGGGCAAGACAUGGUAAACGAUGCUAGGCUCAUAGUUUGUUUUAUCUGCUCCAUGUUCAAUGAGAUGGAAAAUUUUUGCCCUUUGUUCGACCAGGGGAAAUUAGUACAUAUGUCAAAGCCCCCUUUUUUACUCUGACAGUGUGAUAAAAAGCCAGUUUAGUCAUGUUCAACCAUGUUUUAUUUUUAUACAGGUGCUCGUCCUCAUUAGAUUAUUGAUUUUUAUCUAUCUUUUUUGUACAUCAGAAAACUGUAAGUCGUCUGAUGCAUUAAAGCUGUAAAUUGAAUGUCCUACCAAAAAACAAAGCUGUAAAUUGAAUGUCUUUCAUUCUUGGAAGCACUCAAUAAUAAAAUUAUCAUAGAAGUGAGCUGCA